rnacentral:rRNA from 1 species
GCAGGCACGCAAAUUAMCCCACUCCCSGGCAGSGGGGRGGUAGUGACAAAAAAAUAACGAUACGGGACUCUUAUGAGGCCCCGUAAUCGGAAUGAGUACACUUUAAAUCCUUUAACAAGGAUCCAUUGGAGGGCAAGUCUGGUGCCAGCAGCCGCGGUAAUUCCAGCUCCAAUAGCGUAUAUUAAAGUUGUUGCGGUUAAAAAGCUCGUAGUUGGUUCUGCGUGCUACGCUGUCGGUUCGCCGCCUGCCGGUGUAACUGGCAUGCCGUGGCAUGUCCUGUCGGUGGCGUGCGGGAGCCUCGUCUAGGCGUUGGUCCUUGCCAAAAGCUUGGUAUCAAAGGCCGGGGGUCCAACCCGUGCGCCUUCUCUAUCCUACCUAGGUGCUCUUCACCGAGUGUCGAGGUAGGCCGACACGUUUACUUUGAACAAAUUAGAGUGCUCAAAGCAGGCUAAAAUUUCUGCCUGAAUAGUGGUGCAUGGAAUAAUAAAACAGGACCUUGGUUCUAUUUUGUUGGUUCUUAGGAACACAAGGUAAUGAUCAAUACGGACAGGCGGGGGCAUUCGUAUUGCGACGUUAGAGGUGAAAUUCUUGGAUCGUCGCAAGACGCACAAGAGCGAAAGCAUUUGCCAAGUAUGUCUUGAUUGAUCAAGAACGAAAGUUAGAGGUUCGAAGGCGAUCAGAUACCGCCCUAGUUCUAACCAUAAACGAUGCCAGCCAGCGAUCCGCCGAUGUUCCUCCGAUGACUCGGCGGGGAGCUUCUUCCCGGGAAACCAAAGCUUUUGGGUUCCGGGGGAAGUAUGGUUGCAAAGCUGAAACUUAAAGGAAUUGACGGAAGGGCACCACCAGGAGUGGAGCCUGCGGCUUAAUUUGACUCAACACGGGAAACCUCACCAGGCCAGGACAUUUGGAAGGAUUGACAGAUUGAUAGCUCUUUCUUGGAUUCAGUKGGGUARUGGUGCAUGGCCGUUCUUAGUUGGUGGAUCGAUUUGUCUGGUUAAUUCCGAUAACGAACGAGACUCUAGCCUAUUAACUAGGCGUUUACCGGUGUCCUCGCCACCGGCGACACUCAUUCUUCUUAAGGGGACAGGCGGCUCAUAGCCGCACGAGAUUGAGCAAUAACAGGUCUGUAAUGCCCUUAGAUGUCCUGGGCCGCACGCGCGCUACACUGAAGGAAUCAGCGUGUGCCUCCCUGUCCGAAAGGACCGGGUAAUCCGCUGAACCUCCUGCGUGCUAGGAAUUGGGGCUUGCAAUUGUUCCCCAUGAACGAGGAAUUCCCAGUAAGCGCGAGUCAUAAGCUCGCGUUGAUUACGUCCCUGCCCUUUGUACACACCGCCCGUCGCUACUACCGAUUGAAUGAUUUAGUGAGGUCUUCGGACUGGCGGUAAUCCCUA